UUAAGAAUUAAACUGUACAUAUACUAAAAUUGGAAUGAUGCAGAGAAGAUUACCAUGGAUCCUGUGCAAGGUUGACACACAGAUUCAUGAAGAGUUCCAUAAUUCU